CGGGGAGCACCACAACAGGUGGAGCCUGCGGUUUAAUCGGACUCAACGCCGGGAAGCUCACCGGAUAAGACAGCGGAAUGAUAGCCGGGCUGAAGACUCUGCUUGACUAGCUGAGAGGAGGUGCAUGGCCGUCGUCAGUUCGUACUGUGAAGCAUCCUGUUAAGUCAGGCAACGAGCGAGACCCACGCCAACAGUUGCCAGCAUGUCCUCCGGGAUGGUGGGGACACUGUUGGGACCGCCUCUGCUAAAGAGGAGGAAGGAAUGGGCAACGGUAGGUCAGCAUGCCCCGAAUUAUCCGGGCUACACGCGGGCUACAAUGGUCAGGACAAUGGGCAUCAACGCCGAAAGGUGAAGGCAAUCUCUUGAACCUGUCCUUAGUUCGGAUUGUGGGCUGCAACUCGCCCACAUGAAGCUGGAAUCCGUAGUAAUCGCGUUUCAACAGAACGCGGUGAAUACGUCCCUGCUCCUU
rnacentral:rRNA from 1 species